GGUGCUCUGGAAGGGGGCGCGGCUGCCGCCUCCGAGGUCCUUGAGAUCGUUUUACUGCAAAACGCAACUCUGGUCACGCAGGGACCUGAGCGGACCACCUCGGCACUCUUCAAUUGGCCUCCCAGGACGGACUUCCGGCAAAGCCCCUGUACCUGAGAGGACCAGAAGAUGGUGUCAGAUCCUCCGGAGCUGGAAUUGCUGGCAGUUGUGUGUUGCCUGACAUCAUGAGUACUAGAAAGUUAACUCAGGUCUGUGUGUCUUUUCAGAAGAGUUCUUUGAGACCCCAAAGCUAGCACAGUGGAAGGAAGCAGAGAUUCGUCGGGGCAUGGUAGCAUCUGCUGACCAUGUCUUCCAGAUUGCAGUGGGAAUCUCAGGCAUCUCUUGAGACAGAGAAGAAACCCUUAAGGCAUCUUUUUGGCAAGUGGGCAAAUGGCAGUCCAGUGGCUUCAGCCCACUGAAGGUGAGCGGGGGGGUGAACCUGAGAGUCACUUUUCAACCUGAGACUCUACAUCCUGCUCAACUGGUGACAGACUGUGUUUCAUGAUUUACCGAGUCUUUGCAGACGUCUGGAAAACUCA
ensembl:processed_transcript D330023K18Rik RIKEN cDNA D330023K18 gene